GAAUUUUCAAAAAUGGUAUGUAUAUAUCCUCCGUUAUAUUUUAAGGUUGUAUAUACUCUUACCAUCAUACUUUUAGGUCAUAUAUAUCCUUAGAUCAAACGGAAAGACACGUGGCAUGAUCUCAAAUAUUUGCCCUAUUUAAUUUAUUUUAUCAAAAAUUAAUUAUUUUUAAUCAAUUUAUUUUAAUCCUUUCACUUCCCUUGCUGUCUUAGCUUCAAAGAGACGUCCGCUUCAACAUCCAAUUCUCUCCAUUGUUGACCUUAAAGCUUCCAAUUAUAUCCAUUGCUCAACAAAUCAAGCUCCUUUGUAUAUCCUUCGAGUUCGCUCCAUCCGAUUUCAAGUUCUCUCGAAGAAACCCCUAAAUUUUAUGUAUCUAGAUCUGCAACCACUAUUGGAACAAAAAUAGUUCAAAAUAUUCACUUAAUUUGAUUCGAAUUUCAUCACAAUAAAUAAUUUCUAGAUCUCCGAUCAAUGGCGAAGGAAUUUAACGUCCCAUCAAUGAAUUUUUCUAUCCGGCGAAACUCCAGAUCCACGGCAACAUUGCUUCCAACGGCGUCGUUUCAACCACUGAAGUCGUAGAAUCCUAAGAUACCUUUCAUGUCCUUCGAUGUAGGAUUUGUUGUUGCUUUCACUCUGCAAUUCAGGUCCACCACCAUCGGCGGCGGUGGCUCACCGGAUUUUGAAGGCGAGCUAUCAUUGCUGGAGGAGCUUGGGAUUAACACAAAACAAAUCUACCAAAAGAUGUAAUUGAUUGUGAAUUUGCUCACGUAAAGGCAGAUUUCAUCUUCUUUAUGGCAUAUUGUCGGGUUGUUCAUCUUCUUCAUGGCAUAAAUGCUGGAAAGCUUAAUUUUGAAGGGAUGGAUAAUUGGGAUUAAAAAAAUUAUUUUAGGGUUAAAAUAAAUAAAUAGGAUAAAUGAUGAAGAAGGAGAAAGAGGAUGGGGUGGUGGGGAGUUUGAGGAAGAAAAGACAAGCAGG
rnacentral:lncRNA from 1 species